GUACACACCGCCCGUCGCACCACGAAAGCCGAUUGCAGAAGAAGCCGGUGAGCUAACCUUCGGGAGGCAGCCGUCCACUCUGUGAUUGGUAAUUGGGGUGAAGUCGUAACAAGGUAGCCGUAGGUGAACCUGCAGAAGGAUCA
rnacentral:rRNA from 1 species